rnacentral:rRNA from 1 species
UAUUAUUGGGUCUAAAGGGUCUGUAGCCGGCCGGAUAAGUCUCUUGGGAAAUCCAGCAGCUUAACUGUUGGGCUUUCAGGAGAUACUGUCUGGUCUCGAGGCCGGGAGAGGUGAGAGGUACUUCAGGGGUAGGGGUGAAAUCUUGUAAUCCUUGAAGGACCACCAGUGGCGAAGGCGUCUCACCAGAACGGACCUGACGGCAAGGGACGAAAGCUAGGGGCACGAACCGGAUUAGAUACCCGGGUAGUCCUAUAUCGUAAACGAUAACUCGUAUAGGUGUCGGCCAGCGGUGCGAGCAGUAGUCGCUGCUAGUAGGGAAAGUCCGUGAACGCGAUGCCAUCAUGUGGAAGUAUCGGACUCGCAAGAGUGAUAACUU